ACCUGAGAGGCCGGCUCGCCUGGGGCUCGGCCGGGAGAAAAGGCGUGCGGGGCACCGCCCCUCCGCGAAGGCCCGGGGGGAGCUCGCCCUCCGCCCAGCCCGGAGGCCCGAACCCCGACCCCAUGCUCAGCGCCAGCUUCUGCCCCGAGGCCGCGCCGGCCGCCCGUCUUCCAGAGAGAUGGCGGCGCCGGCGGCCGCGGGCCUGAUGCUGCUGCUGCUGCUGCUGGGCCCGGCGAGGACCGCGCACCGGCUCUGCUCGCCCACCGUGCAGUACCGGGACUGCUGGAUCCGCCGCUUCCCGGGGCUGCUGCUGGACCUGGAGGAGUCGCAGAGGCUGGGCGCCCGGUUCCUCAAGUACUACUGGGAGAACACCGGCCAGAAGUGCAGUCGGAGCUGCUGCCUCCGGAAGGACGUUUCCUGCAACAUGGCGGUCUUCUUCCAUGAUCCCAUCCACGACAACCUCAACUGCCUCCACGUCCACUGCCCAAGCCUGGAGAGCUGCAUCCUGGAGCAGCGGACCAGUGCCAUUCUGUACAACAUAACGGCAGGUAUAGAUCCAGAUCUGCUGGUUUUUGAGCAGUCACCUCCGGCGUAUCUAAAUACCCGCUCCUCAUCUGACAGCAGGGACACACUACGGAUUCUAAAAGCCAUGAAUCUAGACAACGAAGGGCCAUUUGAAGACACAAAAAACCGCAUGCUGCCGUCAACAGAGGCCCUGCCCACACAUGGAGAUUUGGGUGCAAACACAAACCUCAGGGAAUUAAGCACAGAUUUGGGGAUAAGGUUCAUUUCCCCAAAUGUCUCUACCGCCAAGGUCAGCGCCGUGUCACGCACAGAUUUCACCCCCAAUCUAGGGAACAAGACCACACCUUUCUUUGGGCCCUUAGGCACGAAACUCUCUCAGGUGCCCAUCCCAUCCCGAUUCAACAGCAGCAAACAAUUACUCAACAGAACGAAAGGGUCCCACAGCGGAAACCACACAUCUGGGAACGAAGAGCCGCAGGACACGGCUCCUCUGACUGCAGAGGCCUGGCUGGCUUCUGUGGCCCUGGGUGCCGCCCUCGUCUGCCUCGGCUGCUGGGUGGUCAUCUGGGUGUCCAGAAGCCACUGGAAGGAGCAGGAGCAGGACCAGUACCAACUGGGGCAGCAGAGAUUAGAGUCCGGGCAGAGGGAGAAGAAUGAUACACUGAAGGGGAGCUCUUAGAUGGAGUGAGGCAAGGACCGUUCAGGAGUCAUUUUCAGCUUUCUAUAGGAAAAGGGCAGCUUGGUUAGAAAAUUCAGCUACUCUGACGUACCCAAUCCUACCAGAAGGACAAGCCUGCUAAAACUGAUUUCCAUUUUCUGAACCGAGGGAAGGAAGUGGGGAGGGGGAGAGGCUGGGUGUGGGCAUACCUGUGAUCCCAGCACUCAGGAGGCAGGAGGAUCAGAAGUUCAAGGUCAGUCUCAGCUACAUAGUAAGUUCAAGACCAGUUUGAACCAUAAGAAAGGUGUGGAAGCAGACAGACAAAGGAGGAGGGCACACAGGUGGUCUGGUUUCAAGGCCAGUCCGCAAACUCGGUUUUUCAUUCUAUUUAAUACACAUUAAAACAAGAGCAUUGUGGCAUCAUUAUGUUCAUUUCCUGGUCAAGUUGUAACCUGGUAAUAAAACUGCUGAGUGCUUUGCACAUAGUCACUGACCUACAAGCAAACACUUCCUGGUUUUUAUGUGCAGUUGAUUCUUUCUUGAUCCCGACCGUACCAAGGACAGUCUCUGGGCUGAGAUGACAGGACCGAGGUCUUUGGGUUCUCUGGGUUGUUUCUGCUGAUAAAGCAUGAAGAUUUUCAUUCCAUCUCCCAUGUGGAUGCCAUGUCCUCAUGUGUGUAGGUAACUCUGUCUGGUUCUUUCUUCUUUUGCAGAGCUGGGAUCAAACCCAGGGCUUCCUGCCUGCUGGGCACCUGCACCUUCCAGCUAAGGGGCACCCCCAACCCUACUGUCCUUUAUUCUACUUGUUUAUUGGGGUGGCUACACAGGAAUAUAUGCCAAGGUGCCUGUAUUGGAGGUCAGAGAACAACUUGAAGGAGUCAGCUCUCUCCUUCCAUCCUUUGGAGCCUGGGGAUUAAACUCCGGUCACCAGGCUUGGCAGCAAGCACCUUUACUCCUAAACCACCUUGCUGACCCCCCACCCUCUUCUUUUCUGAAGCAGGGUCUCUUAUAACCUAGUCUGGCCCUCAAACUUGCUCUGUAGCUAUGUUGGCCUUGAACUUCUGACCCUCCUGCCUCCACCUCCCGAGUGCUGGGAUUACAGGCGUGCACCAUGCCUGGUUUAUGCGGUGCUGGGGGUCAAACCCACGGCUUCUGGCAUGGUAGACAAGCACUGUACCACCUGAGCCAUGCUCUCAGCUCCCUUUUAUACCACUUAGUCCCUAACUCUUACACUCAGACUCUAUAAUACAGAAUACUGUAUGUAAUUCAAGUCUCCAAUGGCCUUAAACUUUAGGGCUUUCAUCUCAGGAUGAAGACAACCAGGAGGGAUGAAGAAUCACAAGGAACUCCUACACAAGACUGGGUAGGAGAGCACUGUCUUCAGGUGCACGAGGCUCCAAGUUGUUCUCAACAUGAUAACUGGAGAGGCACCGGCACCAGACCAGUCAAGAAGCAAAUGGAGCGGCUACAAAGACCACUGAGCUCCUGCCACUCCUGACUGCGGCCUGAAUCCUCAGGUCAGCUGCGGUGGCCCACCUGCAAGGAUGGUGUACCCCAAGGCCAUCCUUACUCCACCCAACUGUAGGUUUGGUGUUUGCAAAAGCGCCCCAGGCAAGGGGAACCCAGGGCUCAGGAAAACACCACUUACCCAGCUACACUUCAUGACAGGGCAGAGACAGGCUGACACGCCCAGGGGGAGAAGCAGGCUCCCAGUGACACACCUCAGGGGUCACUCCACCCCCUUAUCUGGCCACACCCCCUCACAGACUCUGUGUGUACCAGCUACACAGACUAUUCCCAUUCAUGACCAAAGGAUCUGAGGGUUUUGGGGGGUGGUUUUCUGAGACAGGGUCUUUUCUGAGAUGAGGCCCACACUAGCCUCUCGACCUUGCGAGUGCUAGGAUUACAGGUAUGGCCACCACACCUGGCUGUCCGAGGUGUUUACUGUGGCUCCAUCAUGGAAGUGUGGCUGCCAGGUUCCUGAUCUCAGCUGCCAAAUGGACCCAUACCAUGUGGCAGAGCCCUACCCAGAGCAUGGUCAGGGUCAGGUCCUUUGGGACUAGCUCCUGCCUUAAAGACUUCUAUCAGGUGUGACACAGGCCAAGGGGAAAGGCAAGGUCAGGUUACUUCAGUCAAGGUGCCCAUGCUUUGAUCUGACGCUACUUGACGUACACCUGGCCCAUUCCCCAAUCCAUCCACCUCAGUGCUAUGUCCAGAGUGUUCCCUGCAACCCUUUCCUGGGUUCCUUCACUCCACAGGAGUCUUUGGUGGUAUGACCUAAAACUUUUAAGGAGGCUGGAGAUGGCUCGAUGGUUAAGCACACAUACUGCUCUUACAGAAACCCACUCAGUUCCCAGCACCCAUGUCAAGUGGAUUAUAACCACCUCUAACUCCAGCCUCAGGAGGAUCUGAUGCUUCUAGCCUCUUAGAGCACCUGCACUCGUGCACACAUUCACAUGCCAAUGAGCACACACAAUUAAAAAUAAACUUUUAAAGCAAACAAACUUUUUGUUUGUUUUUUGAAAUAGGUCUCACUAUGUAGACCAGGCUGACCUGGAACACCUGUCUGGGGACUACAAGUGUGCACACCACUCCCAGUCUAAAUGCUUUCUUAGGAGAUCUGGGUUCAGGUUCCGCCCUUCCCCAAAGCUUGCAUCGGGAGCAGGGUCUGGAGGGUGCUUUUCUGGGAGGCACUGUUUUCCCACACGUACUCUGGCAGGGAGGGUGGGGAUGAGCAAGCAGCUCACACCAGGGCCCAGGGCCCAGAAAGCCCCAAGGCAGCCCAGGCUGGCCUCCAGCUCACCAUCCCUUGCCUCUCUCAGACCCUGCAGGUGUUUCUCAAAAACGUGCUGUACAUGUGAUUAAAAAUGUCAUUUAUAUCUUUGGCUUUUCGUUCACGACUCUACGCAGUGGAACUCGACCCCCCACCCCGUCUUCUUCUAUACUCCAGGCUCUGAUUGUUCUGUACAAUCGGUUUUGGCCCCACUACCGCCAAAGCCUACUUUUGAUUUCAUACAAUGUUUAGAUACUGCAGAUCCAUUUGAAACUACUGAACCGGGACUGGGAGACAUGGCUCAGGCACAGUAUGCGGAGCCUGGGGGAAAGCCAUGGGUUCAAGCUCCAACACCGCGACCCCUCUCCACACGGAACUGGCAGGUAAACUUGGGGUAGUGCUCCAGUGUCAUUCCAGCGGAAUUCCAGGUCCUCACACCUUGUCUCCCUCCUGAGCUAUGGCCGCUGGGGG